GCCAGAAGACUGCAUUCAGAGUGUCAGCAAGGGCCUUCUAAGGCAAGAUUAGCUUCUCAGACAACUUCUAAGGCUUGAUGACAGCACCCUGCUCUUUGCCCGACGGGCGAGCUUUGCAUCCUUCUACAGAAAGAGGCCCAUGGAGCCAGGGACACAAUUGUGUCUUCCUGCCUGACCCUGGGAUGUCACACAACAGGUGCUCCCUAAAUACUCUGUAAUCCCAGGCAGCAAUCACUUUGGCACAGGACCUGCACGUUGGAAUUUCAAGAACUGUGGCUAUUUUAAUAAUAUUGCUUCAAGAUAUUAAAGACAGUCUUGUUACUUCUCUGGUGGUCCAGUGGUUAAGAAUCUGCCAUCCAAUGCAGGGGACUUAGUUUCAAUCCCUGGUCUUGGAACUAAGAUCCCACAUGUACAGUUGUCAUUGCGGGCCUUAGGAGGUACCCUUGCAAAGCUUCUUGUGGGAAGUGCUCUGAUUUGUAGGUGGGACUGGAAUACAGGGGCUUCCCUCGUGGCUCAGCAGUAAAGAACCCCCCUGCCAAUGCAGGAGACAUCAGUUCGAUCCCUGGGUCGGGAAUAUCCCAUGGAGAAGGGAGUGGGAAAGAGCCCACUGAUGGGAAAAGACCCUGAUGCUGGCAAAGACUGAAGGCACAUAGAGAAGGGGGCAGCAGAGGAUGAGAUGUGAUAGUAUCACUGACUCAGUGGACAUGAAUUUGAGCAAACUCCGGGAGAUAGCAGAGGACAGAGGAGACUGGCAUGCUACAGCCCAUAGGGUCACAAAGAAUUGGACACAGCUUAGCAACUGAACAACAGCAGCAACAACUAGAAUACAGACUAGAAGAUGAGCGGGAGUGGGCGGGGGCAGAAAACAGAGGGAUUAACAGGAGGAAGAAUUAAAGGUGAAGUAAUCGACGAUCAUCUUGUUGGAACUUUACAAUGGCAAUGGAAAUGUGAGCCAUGCUGGUUCCAAGCCUAGGAAAGACAAAUGAGCUCGAAUGAAGUGAUCAAGCCUCACGGAUGACUCAGCAAGGAGCAAAGAAGAACAUCCAGGACAAAUCUCCCUUAGCCUCAGAGAACCAGAGGCUAAUCUCUGCCAGACCUGGAGGAGUUAAGAAGUCUGAUUAUUAUAAAGUUGGAAGGUGAAAAUGUGACCUUUUCGUUCCUUUAUUCUUUUUAAUUAGAAGAUAGAGACUGUUGUUUGGUGCAAAGCUCCCUAUUAAUUUUUAAAGACAUGAAGGAACACUUACAUGCUUGGGAGUAGAUCUGGGAAGAAUGUCUACCCCUGGUUUAGGUCCCUGCUCCUUCCCCCUGCCCUCACACCCCACCCCCAAGAGGUUUGUUCAAUUUGAAUUGUAUCUUUUUGUUAAAUUUUUGUUAGUGUGUGAACAUCUGGGUAUUUCUACUUGAAUUUAAUACUUGAUUGUAUAGUGUACUUUUGGAAAUGCUUUUUAUGAAAGGAUUUCAUUACUUAAUGGAGCAGGGUAAUGUUUAAAGUAAAAUCAGGGUUUGAUCUGUAUUGAUCUGGAGAAGUUCCACCGGAUGUCAAAUGUUUAUGGUUUUGCAGGUCCCAAUUCUAAGAAUCAGGGAAAGACAUUAAAACAUCAAGAUAAAUAAAGGUACAAAGAAAUUUGUGUAAGGAGUGACUCAGGACAUUCAUUAUUUUAGGAGAAGAGAAUUAUUAAUGAAUUACUUUAAUGGUAGAAUUGCUAAUUGCUAUGUUACCUUUAUGGCUGAAUAGAGCAAAUGUGGAAAUUCUGUUUCGCUUAUAACUUAGCAUGUAAUUGUGUGAGUGUGCCC
ensembl:lncRNA